rnacentral:rRNA from 1 species
ACUACCGAUUGAAUGGUUUAGUGAGGCCUCCUGACUGGCGCUGAUACUCUGGCAACAGAGCGCCGGAUGCCGGGAAGUUGGUCAAACUUGAUCAUUUAGAGGAAGUAAAAGUCGUAACAAGGUUUCCGUAGGUGAACCUGCGGAAGGAUCAUUACCGAUACAAUUAUCCAAUUCAAACUCGCUUUGAAUACCUUGUGAAUUGUCCCCAACUUUUUAGGGGUCGGUGGUUCUGCCGUUAAAUGGUCGUCCGUCGUGCACUCGGCGUUCGGUCAGCCCCGCCUUUACUGUUUUUGAUCACACUUUGUCUGAAAAACAGUGUUGCGCCCAGCAGCGCAGCUAGAAAAGCAAAAGAGAGAGACAACUUUUAACGGUGGAUCUCUUGGCUCACGCAUCGAUGAAGAACGCAGCCAGCUGCGAUAAGUAGUGUGAAUUGCAGAAUUCAGUGAAUCAUCGAAUCUUUGAACGCAAAUGGCGCACUUGGGUUCUCCCAGGAGCAUGUCUGUCUGAGUGUCGGAUUCUAUCUAACGCACACGAGGCGUGUGCGGAAAUGAGGCGUCACGGCCAAAGCGGCCGUGUCCCUUGAAGGGCAGAGACACUCGCAUCCGUGCACCGCACUCCAUGCGAAGGCUAAAAAUCCAUUUGGUCCUUGGCUGGUCUUGCGGCGGCGCAGGUGGAGUGGACAUUAAAACAGACGAAUUUUUCUAGAUCUUGACCUCAGAUCAGGCAAGGCUACCCGCUGAAUUUAAGCAUAUUAAUAAGCGGAGGAAAAGAAACUAACAAGGAUUCCCCCAGUAACGGCGAGUGAAGCGGGAAUAGCUCAAAUUUGAAAUCUCCGACGCUAGCGUCGGCGAGUUGUAGUUGCGAGAAGCACUUUCUCGGCGGAUCGGGCGCGCCUAAGUUGCUUGGAACAGCACGUCGCAGAGGGUGACAACCCCGUCUGUGGCGCGGCCGGCCGCUCACGAUGUGCUUUCGAA